GAUGAACGCUGGCGGCGUGCCUAAUACAUGCAAGUCGAGCGAACAGACGAGGAGCUUGCUCCUCUGACGUUAGCGGCGGACGGGUGAGUAACACGUGGAUAACCUACCUAUAAGACUGGGAUAACUUCGGGAAACCGGAGCUAAUACCGGAUAAUAUAUUGAACCGCAUGGUUCAAUAGUGAAAGACGGUUUUGCUGUCACUUAUAGAUGGAUCCGCGCCGCAUUAGCUAGUUGGUAAGGUAACGGCUUACCAAGGCAACGAUGCGUAGCCGACCUGAGAGGUGGAUAGCCCACACUGGAACUGAGACGCGGUCCAGACUCCUACGGGAGGCCGCAGUAGGGAAUCUUCCGCAAUGGGCGAAAGCCUGACGGAGCAACGCCGCGUGAGUGAUGAAGGUCUUCGGAUCGUAAAACUCUGUUAUUAGGGAAGAACAAAUGUGUAAGUAACUAUGCACGUCUUGACGGUACCUAAUCAGAAAGCCACGGCUAACUACGUG
rnacentral:rRNA from 1 species